rnacentral:RNase_P_RNA from 2 species
UCAGUAGUACAGACGAUCGCUGGUCCGCUCCCUUCCUGUAAAGGAAGAUGUGGGUUGGAGGAAAGUCCGAACUUCGCAGGGCAGGAUGCUGGUUAACGGCCAGUGAGGGUGACCUUAAGGACAGUGCCACAGAAACCAUACCGCCAUCUCUACGUUUCAUCGAUCCAGACCUCCCAAGGAGCAAGGGAAUCGUACAAAUGGCAAGGUCGAACCGGUGAGGUAAGAGCUCACCGGGGGGUUGGUGACAAUCCCCGCAGGGUAAACCCCACCUGAAGCAAGACCAAAUAGAAAACAGAGUGGCCCGCUCGACGUUUUCGGGUUAGGUCGCGAGUCUCUUCUGGUAACAGAGAGCAGAGGAUAUCGGCAACGAUAUCCCAAGAUGAAUGAUCGUCGCCUCGUGGAGGGUAACCUUCAUGGGGAACAAAAUUCGGCUUACGGACUACUGCAUCG